GUGAAUCAUCGAAUUUUUGAACGCAAAUUGCACUCUCUUCGGAGAGUAUGCCUGUUUGAGGGUCAGUAUUAAUAAAAAUCGGUGUGUUGCUUCUUUGUGACGCUCCGGAGUUUGGGUCAUCUUAAUAUCCUUGAGUUUUUAGGAGGCUGAAAAUUGAUUUUUUUUGGGCAUUUUAGAUGAAAUUAAAUUCUUUUUUUUAUUCCUCCGUUUUAAUGCUCAAAUUCCUAUUCGUUGCGACAAU
rnacentral:misc_RNA from 1 species